rnacentral:lncRNA from 1 species
AGGAGUUCGAGACCAGCCUGGCCAACGUGGCAAAACUCCAUCUCUACCAAAAAUACAAAAAUUAGCCGGGCGUGGUGGCAGGUGCCUGUAAUCCCAGCUACUCAGGAGGCUGAGGGAUACUCCCAAGUCUAGACAUAAAGACAGUUUAAAAAGGACAAGGAGUCUGGGCGCAGUGGCUCACACCUGUAAUCCCAGCACUUUGGGAGGCCGAGGCAGGAGGAUCACGAGGUCAGGAGAUUGAGGCCAUCCUGGCUAACAUGGUGAAACCCCAUCUCUACUAAAAAUACAAAAAAAAUUAGCCGGGCAUGGUGGCAGGCACCUGUAGUCUACUCGGGAGGCUGAGGCAGGAGAAUGGCGUGAAACCGGGAGGCGGAGCUUGCAG